GCACACACCCCCUUCUCUCCUCUUUUUCACUCAUUUUUCUCUUUCCACCCAUCUCAACCAGAUCUCAGUUCAGCUCUUGUCACCACACUCUCCUCUCCUCUCUUCUCUCCAUCUCUUCCUGCUCUUGGCGUGCCUUGAAGAAAGCCACAGUGAGCGCCUCCGAGGGGGAGAACCCCCUCCACCCCAGCCUCCACCCCAGCAGUGAGAGAGAGAGAGAGAGAGAGAGAGAGAGAGAGAGAGAGAGAGAGAGAGGGCUCUGACCCGGCUCUGUCUCCGUCACGUCACACUCAUCCGGACUUCAGCCGCCGCGCUGCCGGAAGACACGACAGGCAACGAUAACGACACAACGCCUGGAGCCUGAAGUUUUUUUCUUUUCUUUUUUUUUUUACAGCGACUAGACUGUCAGCAGCAGAGCUGUGAGAGCCCGCUGGACUCUCAGUGUGGGAAAGACUCUGGACUUUUUGAAUCCGAGCGGAGAAGACUUUUGAGCGUGAGCAGAGUACCACGCAACAGUAAUGUUGUGGAACAUGUGAGUGAGUGAGUGUGUGUGUAUGUGUGUGUGUUUGAAAGAGUGUGUUUUAGAGACAGGGAGUGACAGAGCAACUGAGAACAAGAGAGGCAUAACACACUAACAGAAGAGAGAGAGAGAGAGAGAGAGAGAGAAAGUGGAGUGAGAGGAAUGUGCUGUGCUCAGCCGACAUUCAACUACUCCCUCCAUCAUGCCCGGGGCUACUCUCUCUCUCUACCUGUGUGAGCCUUUGUUUGCCACUGUGUCACAUUGACCUGACACAGUAGCCACACACACAUGCAUACAGCUGUGUGCCUGUCUGUGUGUGUGAGCGCGAGGACACACACACACACACAGACACACAGACACACUGACCGAUCCAUUCACUGGCAGAAUGCUGGGAUGACAGCGAGACGAAGCCGAUGUUGCUCUUGGCCACUGAGGCUGGAAAACUGAUCGAGUUCAGAAUUCUUCCAGAGCUACUUGACGCACAACAGCACGCAUUGCACCGCAAGGAAGCCCACUGGAGCCUGCGCUGAGGAAUUAUCAGCUGUCAGGGAACCUGCGCCGGGCUGAUAGCGGUGCCAGCGAGGACGGAGAAAAGGGGGGCGCGAGGAGAGCGGGGCCACUGCAAGGUGACGCCGGU